GAAAAUUUGCUGCAUUGGAGACAUUUUGGAAACUUUUGCUGCACUGAUGGAGUCACCAUCCGUGGGAGUGUUUAAGGAAAAAUCAAUAAUUGAGGACAGCUACCAGUGUAACAAAGCUUAACAGAACCACUGAAAUUCCAUGAUGGACUUAGGAGGAUUUCUCAAAGCAAAAUGAUGUAAGAUUAUGAAAAAAAGAAGAAGGAACAAGAAUAAAAGUUUCAGAUGAGGAUGAAUGCAGGAGAAGGGAAGGAAGUGGUACUCUGAAACGAAGGAGUGUGGCUUUGACUUUGGAAGACCGAAAAGGUGAACAGAGAUGUUGAAAUCAGCAACAGAUCACAAAGGCAAGCAAAAGAUAACUUCACUUCAGUGGCACUUAAAUGAAAGAUGGGAAGAAUGAGAACAGUGUUGAGAGUAAUAUCUGUAUCUUGCAGACAAGAUCUAAAUAGACACUAAAGAGAAAGACAUCCGUAAAAUCUGUCUCCAAAGACCUCAAGGAACUGUCAAGUCUACAGCUGCCUGCAUUCAUGUUUUUUGAAACUAGUGUUUAGCAACACUGUCAGAAAUAAUGGUAAGCAAGACACAAAGGGAAAAAGAAAAAAGAAAGAAAAAAAAAGAAAUAAAAAAGAAAAGAAAAGAAAAGAAAAGAAAAGAAAAGAAAAGAAAAGAAAAGAAAAGAAAAGAAAAGAAAAGAAAAGAAAAGAAAAGAAAAGGGAAGAAAAAAAGAGAUAAGACAUUUCCAGUGUUUGGAUUUUAGGUUUUCAAUUUUUCUGUACUCGAUGAAGAAGAACCUGUGUUCUACCCUCUUUAAGAAACAUUAUAAGAAACAUUGAUUUAUAUUAAAAUCAUCUCUUUUUUCUUCCCCAUUAAAGUUUAGGAAGUCAAGAAUCACUGAAGAUAAAGAAAGGUUCAAUUCUAUUGAUAUUUCUGGCUGAUAAACUAGGCGAAUUUAAACAGUACACUUAGAUGUAUUCAGUCAGAUAUUAGAUGGGAAGGGAUUCUCCUGCCAGCUAUGGGAAUUUUAGAUAUAUCUAGCUUGUCUGUAUCGCCAUAAUAAUGGAAUGACACGUCGUGGUAGAAAAUGAGGUAAAAAUCGUCAAGUAGUGUAAUACCUUCUGUUACUUUACAAUAUUAAAAAGAAGAAAAUGAAAAUCACUAUAAUAAUAAAACAUAAAAGUAACCAAACAUCCGCAUCUCUGGGGAAGGUCUGAGCCUGCUAUAGGUGGUCAAGCUCUGAGCUUGUGAUGAAAUGGAAGAAAUUAAGGAACAGCUGUCAUCGAACGGAGUUACUCUCAUCCAUACUGAAAUAAUAUCCUUAUUUUCUGUCUCAGAAGAGUAUCUUCUUGUUACUUUCACAAAAAGAAAUGAAUAUUAAAUUGCAUUGAGAUAGAAAAUAAAAGGAAACAUAAUUUAUAUUUUGUUUUACAGAAGUGGGAUACAUGAAAGCUAAAUCAGCUACUGCUUUUAUACUGCUUUUAGAAAACAGUAUUGCUGAGCUUCCUGCACACAAUAGAAAGUCCCUUGAGGGUUUUCUAGUUUGUACAGUAAUUGCAGAUUGUGCAAGAACUAUUCAUAAGCAACUAGAUGUAAUUGCUAGCAUUAGUGACUACAGAGAAUACAUCUGUUUUGAUCCAUAUUUUGAUAAUUUCAUGAUAAACAGUAUUUCAGUGCUCUUCAGGCCAUUUCUAGAUCAAUGUCUUCAUGUGUGGGGGCUUUUUUAACUUAUAAAUGCUUUGAUGCUUAACUGAGUUUUUCCCACUUUACUGACUCUCCUACAGAAAAGAAUGUAAUUUAAUUAGGUUGAUUGAACUUUUUUUUUUUUUUUUUUUUUUUUUCUGAUGAAUACCUCUAAAACGUUUAUCACAUUAACUAAGAUACAUUUUUAUUCCAGAGUACUCCCUAUGCAGAUUUUUGUUUUGUUUUGUUUUGUUUUAUUGAACUAGAAUUUUGCUAAACCAAAUUAUUGAGUAUUCAUUUCUACUGCAGUUGAAUAUUCCUUGGAUAAGAGUUAGACCAGUCAAUUAGAAGUCAGAUCAUCUGCUUUCAAUUUUUACUGUGCAAUUACAGACAAUCUGUCAGUGGUACUUUUCUCUUACAGAAGUAAAAUACUUCAGGGUUAGGAUGUUAACAAGAGACACCCAUAUGGGUUUCAGUUCCUUGCCAGUCCUUCAAGUUCUUAUAUGAACUUAAAUAUUUAUCCUCUUUGUACUGCAGCUACAUUAAUUUGUUUAAAUACUACAGAAAUGAGUUCAUCUAAGACACAUAGCGCCUCAGAUUACCAUCCCUGUAAAAUGGUGUAUACUUUUUUCCCUUUCUUUCAUGUGCUGUUUGACUAAACCCAGUUUUCAAAAACUUGUGAAACCUUAUGUAAUUUGAUGAUCAUAAAAUGAAAAAAAAAAAUAAUUAACAACAGCAAAAAUCCCAGUAUUCUAAGGCCACAAAAUGUUGUCUUAAAUAUUAAUAAAUUGGUGUUUAAUUAGUCCAAAUAACCAUUAUCCUUUUAUGUGUUUUCUUCCUUUAAUUCUGAAUCUAAUUUGCCAGAUAUAUUUAUGUAAUAUUCACUUCAUUGGCUGAUAUGGAGCAGAUGGUUAAGGUCACUUAUGACUAUUCUUUGGUGUUACGUAAGCACAAUAAUAAGGAUAUUAUUCUUUGUACCCAGGCUUGCAUGGAAGUGUUACUUGGAUUCACCUUCAUUUCAUUUCCCAGUUAACUUAUGUAUAAAUAUCAGGUCUAAAAUCAGUUCGAGAAAAGAAAAAAAAAUAUAUUCAGGGAAAAAAAAAAAAAAAGAUAAAGUAAUCUGAUUCUUCUUUCUCUUUAGAAUUUUAUUACUUACAGUACUCUCGUUUGGUGACAGCACCUAUCUGUGUUGGACUUUGCUGUCUUGGUACACAAAUUCAAGAUAAUCAGUUCAUUAAGGAUUAAUCACAGUGAGCUCUGGUAUUGGCAACUUAUUCAUUAUUAAUUGCAAACAUUUCUUCAGCACCAGUCUGAAAAAAAGGAAGAGACAAACACAUGAAAUGUGGUAAAAGUUUCUGUCAAGAAGGUAAAAGCUUGUAUCAUCACUGUUAAUAGUCCUGUUUGCAGGAACCAUGACAAACUGAAGGCCUCACUAAUUGUUGUUAGGUAUAUUACAGACAAAAUGAGAAAGAGCUAGGUAGCUAGAGAAGUAGAAAAACAUGAUAGUUAUAGAUAUAUUAUGAGACAAUGCAUACUUGU